UGAAACACAGCUUUCUUGUUUCCAGGAUACUGUCCAGAGAAGUCACACAAACUUAGACAUUUCUUCUUCUGAUGUCCACUUGCCAUGACUGUGUGAGGAAGGGAGAGGUCUCUGAAGUGGCUACCAGGGCCCCUUGUAGAUCUCUGUGAUGUCAUUCACUAAUGCUUUUACACUGGGUGACUCCUUCUAACAUCACCACAAUCUUCCAGUUCUAUGGAGAAUGCACUGAUUAGUUAUGGAAAAAUACUCUGAGCUACAGCAAA
rfam:Vicugna pacos cont1.145895, whole genome shotgun sequence.